GGUUGAAUAGUGUAGUUGGUUAUCACAUCGGAUUUUGAUUCCGGGAACUUGGGUUCGAAUCCCAGUUCGACCU
rnacentral:tRNA from 2 species